AUGGGCGGAAGCCUGAUGCAGCGACGCCGCGUGAGGGAUGACGGCCUUCGGGUUGUAAACCUCUUUCAGCAGGGAAGAAGCCACAAGUGACGGUACCUGCAGAAGAAGCGCCGGCUAACUACGUGCCAGCAGCCGCGGUAAUACGUAGGGCGCAAGCGUUGUCCGGAAUUAUUGGGCGUAAAGAGCUCGUAGGCGGUUUGUCGCGUCUGCUGUGAAAGCCCGGGGCUCAACCCCGGGUCUGCAGUGGGUACGGGCAGACUAGAGUGCAGUAGGGGAGACUGGAAUUCCUGGUGUAGCGGUGAAAUGCGCAGAUAUCAGGAGGAACACCGAUGGCGAAGGCAGGUCUCUGGGCUGUUACUGACGCUGAGGAGCGAAAGCAUGGGGAGCGAACAGGAUUAGAUACCCUGGUAGUCCAUGCCGUAAACGUUGGGCACUAGGUGUGGGGGACAUUCCACGUUCUCCGCGCCGUAGCUAACGCAUUAAGUGCCCCGCCUGGGGAGUACG
rnacentral:rRNA from 1 species